rnacentral:tRNA from 1 species
GAGGGUAUAGCUCAGUGGUUAGAGUGCAUGCUUAGGAUGCAGGAGGUCCUGGGUUCAAUCCCCAGUACCUCCA